UACGGUCCAAGAGCCACAAGUGCACGAAACCAAAUCCACUACUUCCGUGAAUACGCAGUAGCUAAUCAGAAAUUGUUACAAAUGUUACAAAACAAUAUGGCUGUUAACAACACUGAUAACAAUGGUAAGGUGUUUCGUUAAAAAUUGUGCAAGAUGUAUACAUUAUACAUGAUAGAAAGUUGUAUAUAUGAUGUGACAGAAGUGAAAAUCGUGCUCUAAUUCUGUAAACGAUUUUUUAGAAAUUCCUCUACUAAAUACCCAGCAAACAAUUUCUGACUG